GAUGAAGAACGUAGCGAAAUGCGAUAAGUAAUGUGAAUUGCAGAAUUCAGUGAAUCAUCGAAUCUUUGAACGCAUCUUGCGCUCCUUGGUAUUCUGAGGAGCAUGCCUGUUUGAGUGUCAUUAAAUUCUCAACUACACUGACUUUGAAUUGGUGUGGCUUGGAUUUGGGGGGAAAAUUGUUGUGGGCUUUUUGUAUAGUCUGCUCCCCUGAAAUUGAUUAGCGGUACCUUUGUGGAACUGUCUACAGGUGUGAUAAUUAUCUACAUCUUAGACAUCUGCUGGAAUGCUGCUUUCUAAACCUUACUUGUAUUGACAAUCUUGACCUCAAAUCAGGUAGGACUACCCGCUGAACUUAAGCGUAUCAAUAAGCGGAGGA
rnacentral:misc_RNA from 1 species